rnacentral:rRNA from 1 species
GCUAAUACCGCAUAAUACCUACGGGUCAAAGGAGCAAUUCGCUCGAGGAGGGGGUCACGGCCGAUUAGUUAGUUGGCGGGGUAAUGGCCCACCAAGACUAUGAUCGGUAUCCGGCCUGAGAGGGCGCACGGACACACUGGAACUGAAACACGGUCCAGACUCCUACGGGAGGCAGCAGUGGGGAAUUUUGCGCAAUGGGGGAAACCCUGACGCAGCAACGCCGCGUGGAGGAUGAAGUCCUUCGGGACGUAAACUCCUUUCGAUCGGGACGAUAAUGACGGUACCGGAAGAAGAAGCCCCGGCUAACUUCGUGCCAGCAGCCGCGGUAAUACGAGGGGGGCGAGCGUUGUUCGGAAUUAUUGGGCGUAAAGGGUGCGUAGGCGGUUUGGUAAGUCUCGUGUGAAAUCUAUGGGCUCAACUCAUAGUCUGCACGAGAAACUGCCGGGCUUGAGUGUGGGAGAGGUGAGUGGAAUUCCUGGUGUAGCGGUGAAAUGCGUAGAUAU